rnacentral:rRNA from 1 species
ACGCUGGCGGCGUGCCUUACGCAUGUAAGUCGGACGGAACCGCAAGGUUCAGUGGCGAACGGCUGAGUAACACGUGAGUGACCUGUCCUGGUGCGGGGGAUAGCCGCUCGAAAGAGUGGGUAAUACCGCGUACGUUGCUGAGGGUGAAGCCUUGGCAGGAAAGCAGAGAUGCGCACUGGGAGGGGCUCGCGGCCCAUCAGGUAGUUGGUGAGGUAACGGCUCACCAAGCCGAUGACGGGUAGCUGGUCUGAGAGGAUGAUCAGCCAGACUGGGACUGAGAUACGGCCCAGACUCCUACGGGGGGCAGCAGCGGGGAAUAUUGCACAAUGGGCGGAAGCCUGAAUGCAGCGACGCCGCGUGAGGGAAGAAGGUCUUCGGAUUGUAAACCUCUUUUGUCGGGGAAGAUGAUGACGGUACCCGGCGAAUAAGCCCCGGCUAACUACGUGCCAGCAGCAGC